rnacentral:rRNA from 1 species
CGCCUGUUUACCAAAAACAUCACCUCUAGCAUAACAAGUAUUAGAGGCAUUGCCUGCCCAGUGACUAAAGUUAAACGGCCGCGGUAUCCUGACCGUGCAAAGGUAGCAUAAUCACUUGUUCCUUAAUUAGGGACUAGAAUGAAUGGCUAAACGAGGGUUCAACUGUCUCUUACUUUCAAUCAGUGAAAUUGACCUUCCAGUGAAGAGGCUGGAAUACUACAAUAAGACGAGAAGACCCUAUGGAGCUUUAAUUUACUAGUUUAAUUUAUAUGACAACAACCUAAUGGACCAAGACAAAAUAAAUAUAAACUAAAAAAUUUCGGUUGGGGUGACCUCGGAGAAUAGAAAAUCCUCCGAAUGAUUUUAACCUAGACCCACAAGUCAAAGUAAUAUUAAUAUCUUAUUGACCCAAUUAUUGAUCAACGGACCAAGUUACCCUAGGGAUAACAGCGCAAUCCUAUUUAAGAGUCCAUAUCGACAAUUAGGGUUUACGACCUCGAUGUUGGAUCAGGACAUCCCAAUGGUGCAGAAGCUAUUAAUGGUUCGUUUGUUCAACGAU